AGAGUUUGAUCCUGGCUCAGAAUGAACGUUGGCGGCGUGGAUUAGGCAUGCGAGUCGCGCGAGAAUGUAGCAAUACAGGACAGCGGCGAAAGGGAGAGGACAACACGGGAAUCUGCCUUGGGGACGAGGAUAGCGUCGGGAGACUGACAGUAAUACUCGAUAAUGUUUGCGGACCAAAGGUGUGAUUCCGCCCCAAGAUGAGCCCGUGCCCCAUUAGCUAGUUGGCAGGGUAAUGGCCUACCAAGGCUGUGAUGGGUAGCUGGUGUGAGAGCACGACCAGCCUCACUGGCACUGAGACACUGGCCAGACACCUACGGGUGGCUGCAGUCGAGAAUCUUCGGCAAUGGACGCAAGUCUGACCGAGCGACGCCGCGUGCGGGAUGAAGGCCUUCGGGUUGUAAACCGCUGUCGUAGGGAAUCAAAUGUAUGAGGGUACUCCCUUGUAUUUGAGAGAUCCUAGGAGGAAGGAGAGGCUAAGCUCGUGCCAGCAGCCGCGGUAAGACGAGCUCUCCAAACGUUAUUCGGUAUUACUGGGCUUAAAGAGUUCG
rnacentral:rRNA from 1 species